GACGAACGCUGGCGGCGUGCUUAACACACGCAAGUCGAACGGAAAGGCCCUGCUUUUGUGGGGUGCUCGAGUGGCGAACGGGUGAGUAACACGUGAGUAACCUGCCCUUGACUUUGGGAUAACUUCAGGAAACUGGGGCUAAUACCGGAUAGGAGCCCCUGCUGCAUGGUGGGGGUUGGAAAGUUUCGGCGGUUGGGGAUGGACUCGCGGCUUAUCAGCUUGUUGGUGGGGUAGUGGCUUACCAAGGCUUUGACGGGUAGCCGGCCUGAGAGGGUGACCGGCCACAUUGGGACUGAGAUACGGCCCAGACUCCUACGGGAGGCAGCAGUGGGGAAUAUUGCACAAUGGGCGGAAGCCUGAUGCAGCAACGCCGCGUGCGGGAUGACGGCCUUCGGGUUGUAAACCGCUUUCGCCUGUGACGAAGCGUGAGUGACGGUAAUGGGUAAAGAAGCACCGGCUAACUACGUG
rnacentral:rRNA from 1 species